rnacentral:rRNA from 1 species
GAUGAACGCUGGCGGCGUGCUUAACACAUGCAAGUCGAACGAUGAAGCCCAGCUUGCUGGGUGGAUUAGUGGCGAACGGGUGAGUAACACGUGAGUAACCUGCCCUUAACUCUGGGAUAAGCCUGGGAAACUGGGUCUAAUACCGGAUAGGAGCGUCCACCGCAUGGUGGGUGUUGGAAAGAUUUAUCGGUUUUGGAUGGACUCGCGGCCUAUCAGCUUGUUGGUGAGGUAAUGGCUCGCCAAGGCGACGACGGGUAGCCGGCCUGAGAGGGUGACCGGCCACACUGGGACUGAGACACGGCCCAGACUCCUACGGGAGGCAGCAGUGGGGAAUAUUGCACAAUGGGCGAAAGCCUGAUGCAGCGACGCCGCGUGAGGGAUGACGGCCUUCGGGUUGUAAACCUCUUUCAGUAGGGAAGAAGCGAAAGUGACGGUACCUGCAGAAGAAGCACCGGCUAACUACGUG